UUGGUCUGAUGGUUUUGGGGCAUAUAUAUAUUUUUCUAAAUAAUUUCGCAUCUAGAAACGCGCUCGGAAAAGUGGGCCCACAGAGGAGCCAGAGAGAGGGCGGGCGCCCAGGUCAAGUAGGCGGGCGCCCAGCCCCUGUUCCCCCUCGGUCCCGACUUUCUCUGAUAUGAAAAAUGCACUUAGGGUGAUCCGAAUAAUCCCUCGGAUGGAAAGUUUCGCACGCACAUCGACGGAAGCAACCCGAACAACCCAUAGAGUGUAACACCCAAAAUUUUGAAUUUUAAUUAAUAGGAUUUAAUUUGAAUUAUUUAAGAAUUUUAGUGAGCAUUUAAUGUAGCAAAUAAAUAAUUUUUGUGGAAAUUUAAAUUUAUCAUAAGCUUAGUAACAUGAUUUUGUGCAUUCAUGCUGAGACAUAUUUUAUUUUGUGUUGAUUGAAUUUGGUUUGUAUUUAAUUAUCCUCAAAAUCCUUUUCGAAAAAAAAUAAAAGAAAAAAAAGGGGAAGAAAGCCUCCCUAGAAUCUGGCCCAGCUUUCCCUAGCUCGGCCCAGUUCCAGCCGCAGCCAGCAGCAGGCCGAGGCCCAAGAGCGCAAGCGCGCCUCCCCUCCUUUUCUCUUCUGCCGCUGACACCCCGGGCCCACCUGUCGGCGCCCUGUUCUUCUUCUCCACCGUAACAGAACCGGAGACCGAACGAAGAGGGAAAUCCCGGUUUCCUCGGUAUUCCUUCCCAAUCCGCGGGUCAUGCCCCUAUAAAGCUCUCAAACCA
rnacentral:lncRNA from 1 species